UUGCUGUGAUGCUCUUAUUUUUCGUCAACAGCAUUCCACCUCGAGUGGAUGUUGAGAAAAUGAAACUGAGCAA